GAGAACAGUGGGUAUUCAUAUUCAAAGACUGAUGGGCCGUCCACUGUUGGCAGUCUGUAUGCUCAGAAUUCCUGUGGUUUCUGCACAGCAACUGGACAUCAGUGCUAAAAUCCCUCUUUACUCUCUCACAUGCAAGGCACUGGCACCUCUCUAUUCCAUCUCCCUAGUUCCAGUGUUCCCUCCUUACAAGCAUUGUGUCUUUGAGGAGUUGAAAAUUCACUCUGAAAGGUGCUACCAGAAUCUUGAUGACACAUGCUCCAGCCAAAGGCACCUUUGAGAAUUGUCUCUUGGGAACCCACAACAUCUAGAGAAG
rnacentral:lncRNA from 1 species